rnacentral:rRNA from 1 species
GAUGAACGCUGGCGGCGUGCCUAAUACAUGCAAGUAGAACGCUGAAGGAGGAGCUUGCUCUUCUGGAUGAGUUGCGAACGGGUGAGUAACGCGUAGGUAACCUGCCUGGUAGCGGGGGAUAACUAUUGGAAACGAUAGCUAAUACCGCAUGACAACAGUUAUUGCAUGAUAACUGUUUAAAAGGGGCAAAUGCUCCACUACCAGAUGGACCUGCGUUGUAUUAGCUAGUUGGUGAGGUAACGGCUCACCAAGGCGACGAUACAUAGCCGACCUGAGAGGGUGAUCGGCCACACUGGGACUGAGACACGGCCCAGACUCCUACGGGAGGCAGCAGUAGGGAAUCUUCGGCAAUAGACGGAAGUCUGACCGAGCAACGCCGCGUGAGUGAAGAAGGUUGUCGGAUCGUAAAGCUCUGUUGUAAGAGAAGAACGAGUGUGAGAGUGGAAAGUUCACACUGUGACGGUAUCUUACCAGAAAGGGACGGCUAACUACGUG